AUACGAAGGUCCCGAGCGUUAUUCGGAAUCACUGGGCGUAAAGGGAGCGUAGGCUGUAGGGUAAGUCAGAUGUGAAAUCUCAGAGCUCAACUCUGAAACUGCAUCCGAUACUGCCGUACUAGAGUAAUGGAGGGGUAACUGGAAUUCUCGGUGUAGCAGUGAAAUGCGUAGAUAUCGAGAGGAAGACCAACGGCGAAGGCAGGUUACUGGACAUUUACUGACGCUGAGGCUCGAAGGCUAGGGUAGCGAAAGGGAUUAGAAACCCCUGUAGUCC
rnacentral:rRNA from 1 species